GAUGAACGCUGGCGGCGUGCUUAACACAUGCAAGUCGAACGAUGAAGCCCAGCUUGCUGGGUGGAUUAGUGGCGAACGGGUGAGUAACACGUGAGUAACCUGCCCUUAACUCUGGGAUAAGCCUGGGAAACUGGGUCUAAUACCGGAUAGGAGCGUCCACCGCAUGGUGGGUGUUGGAAAGAUUUAUCGGUUUUGGAUGGACUCGCGGCCUAUCAGCUUGUUGGUGAGGUAAUGGCUCACCAAGGCGACGACGGGUAGCCGGCCUGAGAGGGUGACCGGCCACACUGGGACUGAGAGACGGCCCAGACUCCUACGGGAGGCAGCAGUGGGGAAUAUUGCACAAUGGGCGCAAGCCUGAUGCAGCGACGCCGCGCGAGGGAUGACGGCCUUCGGGUUGUAAACCUCUUUCAGUAGGGAAGAAGCGAAAGUGACGGUACCUGCAGAAGAAGCACCGGCUAACUACGUG
rnacentral:rRNA from 1 species